AUAUUGCACAAUGGGCGCAAGCCUGAUGCAGCAACGCCGCGUGAGGGACGACGGCCUUNGGGUUGNANACCUCUUUUAGUAGGGANAAAGCGAAAGUGACGGUACCUGCAGAAAAAGCACCGGCCAACUACGUGCCAGCAGCCGCGGUAAUACGUAGGAAGCAAGCGUUAUCCGGAAUUAUUGGGCGUAAACAGCUCGUAGGCGGUUUGGCUCGUCUGCGGUGAAAGCCCGGGGCUCAACCUCGGGCCUGCAGUGGGUACGGGCAGACUAGAGUGCGGUAGGGGAGAUUGGAAUUCCUGGUGUAGCGGUGGAAUGCGCAGAUAUCAGGAGGAACACCGAUGGCGAAGGCAGAUCUCUGGGCCGUAACUGACGCUGAGGAGCGAAAGCAUGGGGAGCGAAC
rnacentral:rRNA from 1 species